rnacentral:rRNA from 1 species
CAGGGAAUAUUGCGCAAUGGGGGCAACCCUGACGCAGCGACGCCACGUGUGGGAUGGAGCGCCUAGGCGUGUAAACCACUGUCGCGAGGGAAUAGCGCGCGGCUUCGGCCGCGAUGAAUGUACCUUGAGAGGAAGCGCCGGCAAACUUCGUGCCAGCAGCCGCGGUAAUACGAGGGGCGCGAGCGUUGUUCGGAAUCACUGGGCGUAAAGGGAGCGCAGGCUGCCCUUCAAGCCGGGCGUGCAAGUCCGCGGCCUAACCGCGGGAUUGCGCCCGGGACUGAGGGGCUUGGAUGUUCCAGAGGCUGGCGGAAUUCCCGGUGGAGCGGUGGAAUGCGUAGAUAUCGGGAAGAACACCGGAGGCGAAGGCGGCCGGCUGGGGAAUCAUCGACGCUGCAGCUCGAAAGCGCGGGUAGCAAACAGGAUUAGAUACCCUGGUAGUCCGCGCCGUAAACGAUGCGCGCUUGGCGCCCGGGGGCAACUGCCCCUGGGUGCCGGAGCUAACGCGAUAAGCGCGCCGCCU